AAAAUCUAAUAGGCUUAUCCUAACAGACAAGAAAUUCGAUUGUUUAAGGAAUGUUAGUAGCAUCAUUUUGAAAAGAAAAAAAAAAUGGCCAAGUCCACUUAUAUAUAUAUAUUUUUUAUUUAGGUUCAGUUACGAGCAACUAAUUUAGUUGUUUUAUUUUUAAAAUUUUUAAAUUCACUUCUUCGGGAUAGUUGCUUUAAAAUUUGCGAUCGUAACAAAGAAAAUGUUCAUUUACUUAAAAAAUGGGUGAAUAAAUUAGACUCGAAGGUCCUCGUUGGACUAGACUUCAAUCUUUUCUAAUCCCAAAAGGCAAAAAGGCCCCAAAGUAUUCUUGGAUGCUCAAUAAUACAUACUGAGAAAAAGACUUAAAAUUUAAAAUAUAUGGACAAAAUUUAUUCUGAACGUGACCUAUAUUAUACUAACUUUGAAUUUAUACUAACUUUGAAUUUAUACUAUACACUUACUUUCUGGAUAAAAUUCUAAGUAUCUAGCUAACUUUAAUCUAAUCAAGUUGUUAUGCGUGUUAAUAAAGGUGACAACAAGAUCUUGUGUUUGUUUGUUGUGAAGUUAUUUCCUUGUAGAGCCCCAACAUUUUUAUUAACUUUGAUCUACUUCUCACUUUAGUAUUAUCACUACUUAUAAUCAUAUAAUUUUUUUUAAUACCACAUCAAUAGGAUUACGACAUAUAUGUCCGAGCCACCUAAAUUUAUUUUCUUAAUUUUGGAUAUGCACUCAUUCGAUAUGAGAAUUUCGACCCACACUAAAUUUACAUUUCAUAUAUUCAGUUUUGUUCAUAAUUAUUUUAAAAUCGUUUGACUCUAGUGAUUUUCUUUAGAUUUUUAACUUCGCAUUGACACCGUUUGCGGUCUUGUUAAUCAAUACUAUAUCUUCGGCGAAUAAUAUAUACCAUAUAUAAGUCUAGUAAUCGCAUCCAUAAUUAAUGCAAAAAGAUAAAGGCUCAAGGCAAGUCCAUGGUGUAAUCCUACUGUAAUUGAAAACUCAUUCGUCUCCCCAGUUGGUGAUCAAAUUAUAGUAAUAGUACCAUCAUAUAUAUUUUUAAUUACAUCAAUGUAUCCCCUAAUAACGUAUUUUCUCUAAAAAAUCUAUCAAAUAAUAUCUAUAGGAACCCCAACGAAAGCGUUUUCUAAGUUUAUAAAGACCAUAUAAAGGUCUUUUUUUAUUUCUCUACACUUUUUAACUAGUCUCCUUAAUAAAUAGAUUGCUUCCAUAGUCGAUUUAUUUGGCAUAAAAUCAAAUUACUUCUCCGACACACUUGUUAUCACCAUCAAACGAUACUCAAUAAUUCUUUCCCAUAACUUCAUAGUAUGACUCAUCAACUUGAUCCAUCUAUUAUUGUUACAACUUUAUAUAUCACAUUUGUUCUUGUAUAUGGGUACUAAAUACUUCUCCUCCACUUUUUCGGCAUUUUUCGAGACAUAAAAAUUUUGCUAAAUACGUUAGUUAACCAACGCAAUUCCGCUUUGUCUAAACUUCUCUAAAUCUUAAUUGGGAUGCCAUCCGGCCUUAGGGCCAUACCGUUCUCAUCUUUUUUAAGGCAAAUUCUAUUUUAGCAUUCUGUAUUAUAUGGUAAAACUAUAAUCUAUAGUCACAUUAGUGCCACCAUAUUUGUCUCUUCUUGAGCUCUUCCCUUCAUGUUUCUCACUUGACAACUUCUCAAAAUACAAUAUUCAUCUUCCUUAAUCUCAUCAUCUUUCACUAGUAUCCUGUAGUCCUCACUUUUUAUACACUUGAAUAAAGUCCUUUGUUUUCCUUUCUCUUGUAUUGGCUUACAAUAAUAAAAGAUAGAAUUGACACAAUGCAAAUGUUUGGGGAUUAAAACAACAUGAAAUGCAUGAUUUAGGGACUGUUGACGUAAAACAUAAUAUUUCCAUUUACAAUUUUAACGUUAAUUUGCAAUUGAGCAUGUUUGAUUUAACUUGGAAAUUUUAAGGAUGAAACUGGAAAAGCUCAAACUUAGAGGACCAAAGUGAUACAAAGAGCAUACUUUAAGGGACAUAUUUGUAUUCUAUCAUUAUUUUUGUUGUAUUCUUAUAGCGUGGACCACGGAUCACCGUAUUAAAUACUCCUAUCAAACGUUGUGGACCCAUAACACCAGAAAGUUAUGUACAAAUAAGAAAAUUGCUACUCCCCUCUCCCGUGUCACGUACUCCCCGGGCCCCACACCCUUUUUCCCCUUGAAAGUACUGUUAUGCCCCACCCCCAAAUAUCUCUUUAUGUUUUUGUUUUUUGUUUUUUAGUUUUUUUUAGUUUGUUUUUUUAUUAAUUUUUUUUAGUUUUUUUUUAUUAAACUUAUUUAUUUUUUAUCUGUUUUAUUUUUUUUCCAAUUUUGUGUAGUUUUUUUUUGUAAUUUGUUUCUUUUUUUAGUUUUGUGUAUUUUUUAUUUUUUUAUUUUUGUUUUAUAUAAAAAAUAAUUAAUAUAAAGAACUACCUAAAUUUUCUAACCAUAAUAUAAUCAUAACAUUUUAAACAUUCAAUGACAAUGGAGACCAAAUAAUAUAUUGUUAGUAUUUUGUUAUUUUAAAAAUGGCUUAAUAGCAAGUUUAGUCCACGAACGUUAACAUCAUGUUUGUAUUGUGGUCCCCAAUGUACCAAUUGUAUUAAUUUUAGUCAUUUUUUUCAAGUGUAUUUAAAUGGUCCCUACUCCAAAAAUAACUAAAAAUAAAAAAUCUCAAAUAAAAAAUUUUAAAAAUCCAUAAAAUUUCAUGAAAUUCUAUACAACAAAAAUAAAUUUUUUUAGAGCAGGUACAUUAAAUACCAUUUAAACCAUAAGGGACUAAAUUAAUACUUGAUACAUUGGGACCACAAUACGACACAUGCUAUACGUGUUAUGGGACCAAACGUGUCAUUAAGCCUUAUUUUACAUAUAUACUUUUAUUUUGAUCCAUAUUUUUUAUAUUUUUUACUAAUAAUACUCAUAAAAUCUACAACAUAAAAAAUAAAUAAAGAUUACAACAUAUAAUAAAAAAAAUAUUUAUUCAAAAAAAAAUUAAUAAAAAAAAUCAUAAAAAAAAGCUGAUAAAAAAAAUUAAAAAAAGGAGGGGGUGGCUGGAAGGACAAAAGGAGAAAGAAAAAAAAAAAAGAGAGAGGGGCACAAGGAUAAAUUGGGUGGUGGGGCCAGUGGAGAGUGUCUGACACGGAGAGGGGGAAAAGCACCUCUCUACAAAUAAUGAGAGUUCCUGCACUUCGUCGGCGGGGACACUCGCAUUAACUAGUAACUACCAAAGCACCCCAAUAUUAUGAAAAAUUAUUUCACGACCCCAUCUCACUAGACUAAUAGCUUUUAAGAUUAAACAAUUAUAGACUAUAGAAUUUGCCUUUUAAGCCUGUUUGGCCCAGUUUUUUUUAAAGACUUUUUAACUGCUUUAUUUUUUAAAUUUUUUCAUCUUUAGAUUUAUUUGGUUUAAAUUAUUUCGUCUUUUUAGGAGAGUCGAAACGAAAAGUCUAUGAAGACUUUUAUACUAGGUUAGAUAAUAGAAACUGGGAGAAGAACAAUAUUUUGGACCCAGAGAUCUUUCUAGAAUUCAAAAUAAAUUAUUUACGUUCAUUUGGUUAGGUGAGAUCCACACACUUAAAUGAAUCUGAACUAUUAGUUUUGAAUUCUAAAAAUUUUUCUUGGUCCAAAUUUUGAAUAUUUCUCUUAUUGCAUUGUUUGAAUAAUUUGGAGAAAAAUCUUGAAUUGUUCAAACAAUUGAAUAACACUACCUCAGGUCACUAGGUAAUGCAUUAUUUAUAAUAAGUUCUCUAGUAAUUAAAAAAAUUAUUUAUCCAAAGUCUUGCAGUGUUCAGGAAACUAAAGUUGAUAGUUUGAGAACUAAAGUGAAACUAAAUCAAUAUUCUAGGUGUAUAACAUAUAUAUCUGAAUUAAUGUUUAACAUCGUCUAAAAUUGAAUUAAUUUAAUACAAAUUGAAAAUUUUAAGGGUCACAAGUACAAAAAUUAAGACAUGUAGGCCAAAAAUAUUAUAAUUUAGGAACCAUUUAUAUACUUUACCCAUAAAAUAAUACUAACAAUAACAAAUAAAAAAAUAAAAUACCCGUGCUUACCAUCUAAUUUUAUUAUUGUGGGGUAGCGGGAUGAUAAGAAACUGAACGUAGACAUCAGCGUUGGAUCGUUGGCUACAAGCGAAUGUUGGUAGAAAGAGGUUGCUUGUCGGACUUGGGAGACAUAAA
rnacentral:lncRNA from 1 species